rnacentral:rRNA from 1 species
GACGAACGCUGGCGGCGUGCUUAACACAUGCAAGUCGAACGGUGACGAGGAGCUUGCUCCUCUGAUCAGUGGCGAACGGGUGAGUAACACGUGAGCAACCUGCCCCAGACUCUGGGAUAACAGUUGGAAACAGCUGCUAAUACCGGAUACGAGACGGAGAGGCAUCUCUACCGUCUGGAAAGUUUUUCGGUCUGGGAUGGACUCGCGGCCUAUCAGCUAGUUGGUGAGGUAAUGGCUCACCAAGGCGACGACGGGUAGCCGGCCUGAGAGGGCGACCGGCCACACUGGGACUGAGACACGGCCCAGACUCCUACGGGAGGCAGCAGUGGGGAAUAUUGCACAAUGGGCGAAAGCCUGAUGCAGCGACGCCGCGUGAGGGAUGACGGCCUCGGUUGUAACGUACUUACUACGUCAGGAAGGAAGGACGGAAAGUAGGAACGGUAACCGUUACGCCGACGAAGGAAAGAACGACCGGACCGUAACCUAACGUACGUCCGACGACAGCCGCCGGUAACGUAGU